rnacentral:misc_RNA from 1 species
UUAAGUUCAGCGGGUAGUCCUACCUGAUUUGAGGUCGAAAGUAAUAGUGUGUCGCGAAAACAUGAGUUGGGUAAUCCUAGACAUGUUGCGUAUUCCUUUCGAGUAGACUUGCGUGCACUCACAGCCAAACCCGGGGGUUUGAGAGAGUCUGACGCUCAAACAGGCAUGCCUUGAGGAAUACCUCAAGGCGCAAUGUGCGU